AAGGGUAUGGCUCAGUGGUAGAGUACAUGCUUAGCAGUCAUGAGGUCCUGGGUUCAAUCCCUGGUCCCUCCA
rfam:Camelus ferus unplaced genomic scaffold scaffold1171, whole genome shotgun sequence.